rnacentral:rRNA from 1 species
CAAUAGCGUAUAUUAAAGUUGUUGCAGUUAAAAAGCUCGUAGUUGGACUUCUGAUGUGGGACUGCGCCCCGGUAUUUUGCCGUUGGGUGCGGGCUCGCGUCUUCCUCUCGUAGUUGGAUGGUGCACUUAACUGGGUGCCUUCUGAAUAUGGGACCUUUACUUUGAAAAAUUAGAGUGUUCAAAGCAGGCAAUCGCUUGAAUACAUUAGCAUGGAAUAAUAGAAUAGGACUUUGGUUCUAUUUUGUUGGUUUCUAGGACCGAAGUAAUGAUUAAUAGGGACAGUUGGGGGCAUUAGUAUUUAAUUGUCAGAGGUGAAAUUCUUGGAUUUAUGAAAGACUAACUACUGCGAAAGCAUUUGCCAAGGAUGUUUUCAUUAAUCAAGAACGAAAGUUAGGGGAUCGAAGACGAUCAGAUACCAU